rnacentral:rRNA from 1 species
GGGGAAUAUUGGGCAAUGGGGGCAACCCUGACCCAGCGACGCCGCGUGGGGGAAGACGGCCUUCGGGUUGUAAACCUCUUCUGUACGGGAAGAAGGAAGUGACGGUACUGUACGAAUAAGCCCCGGCUAACUACGUGCCAGCAGCCGCGGUAAUACGUAGGGGACGAGCGUUGUCCGGAAUUACUGGGCGUAAAGGGCGCGCAGGCUGUGCUGCAAGUCAGCUGUUAAAUGUCUGGGCUUAACCCGGGCAUGCGGUUGAGACUGCGGUGCUGGAGUGCUGUAGAGGCGAGUGGGAUUCCCAGUGUAGCGGUGGAAUGCGUAGAUAUUGGGAAGAACACCGGUGGCGGAGGCGGCUUGCUGGGCAG